UUUAUGGAGAGUUUGAUCCUGGCUCAGGAUGAACGCUGGCGGCGUGCCUAAUACAUGCAAGUCGAGCGAACGGACGAGAAGCUUGCUUCUCUGAUGUUAGCGGCGGACGGGUGAGUAACACGUGGAUAACCUACCUAUAAGACUGGGAUAACUUCGGGAAACCGGAGCUAAUACCGGAUAAUAUUUCGAACCGCAUGGUUCAAAAGUGAAAGACGGUCUUGCUGUCACUUAUAGAUGGAUCCGCGCUGCAUUAGCUAGU
rnacentral:rRNA from 1 species